rnacentral:rRNA from 1 species
UACGUAGGGCGCAAGCGUUAUCCGGAAUUAUUGGGCGUAAAGAGCUCGUAGGCGGUUUGUUGCGUCGGCUGUGAAAUCCCGAGGCUCAACCUCGGGUCUGCAGUCGAUACGAGCAAACUAGAGUGUUGCAGGGGAGACUGGAAUUCCUGGUGUAGCGGUGAAAUGCGCAGAUAUCAGGAGGAACACCGGUGGCGAAGGCGGGUCUCUGGGCAGCAACUGACGCUGAGGAGCGAAAGCGUGGGGAGCGAACAGG